CCCUCUUCUCUAGGCCCGGGAAUAAAUCAUCUCCUGAGGCGGCGUGGAAGUUUUCCUCGAGGAGGCGGCGGUGCAGCGAAGACGCGACGGCGGGGGCGGCGCGACCCGGAGGCGAUGGCGACGGCACGGCGCUCUCCUCCGGCCGCCAUAUUAUCUCCGAUUGCACGUGCACCUCCUCCUUCCUGGGACCUUGUACCCUCUCCUUCCUAGGAUAGUGCUGUGCUUCAGGAAGAUGGCAAAGAAGAAGAACCCAAUUGUCUUUAUGGAUAUUUCGAUAGGUGAUGAACCUGAGGCCAUUCCCAACCCAAUGACUAGGAUGGUGUCUAUAGCAUUAAAUAAGCUGCCACCUAGGAUGAAAAAUGAUGUGGCAAGUGAAUAAAUGAGGAAAUAGAAGGAAACCAUGUCUUGCAUGAGACAUGGUUUCUACACAACAUCCAAGACAUCAUGCUCCUUGAAAUUGACUGGUAGGAUGUUCCAUAGAAUUUUUUUGAUGGUAGCAGUUUUCUGAUGGUGUCAUUUAGACUAAUUAACCAUCCAAUGAAUGGUCUACUGAUGUGUCAUUUUGGGGAUGUUGGGAGAAGUUUGGAUUUUGAUGUGCAUUUGGACUAAUUAAUCAUCCAAGUUGUCGGCAGAUGGAUUCAACUUGCUGAGUGUAAGGGAAUGGAAUCAGAACAAUCUUCUUAUUAUACUGUAUAAAUAUCUCCUGUACUUUUGGCUGGCACUGCAUUGGCAUCAACUUUCUUGAUCAGGAAGUUGUAACAAGCAUGUAUAUGUUUUCUAAUUUUCUCUUAAAUGGACCGAUGGUAUUUUUGAUCU